CAGUGUGUCUGCCGAAGGUAAGAAGGAUAGGGUACCCAUCUCUCUUUUUCAUAGUUUUUUAGUUCUAGUUUGUCUAGGGGUUUAGUCCUAAUAAACCUUCUGGCGAAAUCAGAUGAUUUUCAGUCAUGAUCGUGUUUCCUGCGAUGACUUCGAUGAUUACCAUGACAAGAUUAUCGUUGCAGACGUUGAUUUCAUCAGCAAGCAACCAAUUUGUGGUCUUUAUCUACAAGGGGAGGGGUGCUUCUGGGAGCCUCCUAUGAGGACAACGACUUCAGGUCAUUGAUCUCAUCGUCGAUGGUAGCAGUGAGAAUUUACAGCCAAUGUCAUACCCGACAAUGCAACUGCCAAUAACUUUUAGCGAUUCAGAUGUGUUUAGGACUGGUUCUGAAAUGUUAGAUCUUGCGGCAUGUCCAAUAUUUUAGGGUUAGUCAUUAAAUUUGGCAUAAGGAUUACACUUUGGCGCCAUCGUCCGAGGGAUGCCAUUGGGAAGAAGAAGAUGGGAGAAUCUCUAUAGAAUAUUAUUAUGUGUUUUUUAUUUUAGAUUUUUUUCAUGUGUCAUUUGGAGAUAUACUAGUGCCU
rnacentral:lncRNA from 1 species